rnacentral:rRNA from 1 species
GACGAGCGCUGGCGGCGUGCUUAACACAUGCAAGUCGAACGGAAAGGCCCUGCUUUUGUGGGGUGCUCGAGUGGCGAACGGGUGAGUAACACGUGAGUAACCUGCCCUUGACUUUGGGAUAACUUCAGGAAACUGGGGCUAAUACCGGAUAGGAGCUCCUGCUGCAUGGAGGGGGUUGGAAAGUUUCGGCGGUUGGGGAUGGACUCGCGGCUCAUCAGCUUGUUGGUGGGGGAGUGGCUUACCAAGGCUUUGACGGGUAGCCGGCCUGAGAGGGUGACCGGCCACAUUGGGACUGAGAUACGGCCCAGACUCCUACGGGAGGCAGCAGUGGGGAAUAUUGCACAAUGGGCGGAAGCCUGAUGCAGCAACGCCGCGUGCGGGAUGACGGCCUUCGGGUUGUAAACCGCUUUCGCCUGUGACGAAGCGUGAGUGACGGUAAUGGGUAAAGAAGCACCGGCUAACUACGUG